rnacentral:lncRNA from 1 species
CUGAAUUAAAACAUCAAUAAAAGUCUAAUAUUGUAAAAUACUGCGGAAAACAAGGUCAUAAUUAAACCCUUAAAACCUGGUUGUCACGUGUAAAAGCCUCUAAAGUAUUACAACUGAAUCAAAAGAAAAAUACAAGUCUCACAUGACAUUGUUUCUAGAGUAGAACAAGAUCAUAAAUAGGAGUAAGAAGGUCUACCAAAUGACAAGUAACUAAUCUCACAAACCUCCAUAAGAAGCCUCAGACAAGGAGAAGAGAAAAUAUCACAAAGGUGUUCAUGCUAAUAACCUGCAAAAAAUUGUAGAAGUAAGGGAUGAGUACCAAACCACACGGUAAUCAACAAGUAAACCUCCAAAAACAAGUUAAGGGGAUAAAUACGGGUACUCCUUACACCUCAACCGAACCUCUACAACUACAACCUGCAUAAAAUCAGCCCAACCUAAUAGUUCACCAUUUACAAGCACAUAUCUCACAACAACAUUCUAACAAUCACAUAUACUCAACAACAAGCUCAAUAUUCAUCAAUUAUAACCUCCACAAAAAGACACUCACAAUAUCAGCAAUACAUACGAUCAAGUUCAUCAAAUAGAGAUAACCAAAUAUCAAGUACUUUUCAACCACCAAUAAAAUACAUUAUCAUCAAGACUGAAGGAUGUCAGGGGAUACAAUGCAAUAUGACACCAUGAAAUGAUAUGCCUCAAAAUACCAAGUACUCGCUUAACCUUGUAUACAUGAUACUCCUCAGGAAUACAUUGAGAGUUCAUGACCCAUGAGGGACUCAAGAGGUCCAUAUAUCGGCACGGAUGAUCUCCACGUGUCUGUGCGGACGAUCUCAACACACUAUCAUAAAAUAAAACAAUUCCCAGCACAGACGAUCUCCACGUGCCCAACUUAUAAUCAUAGACAAUUUCCUCGCAUGGAUGAUCUCCACGUGCCCAAAUUAUAAUCACACUCGAUCUCAACAUGGACGAUCUCUACGGGUUAGACCUUUUACUUAUACUCAAUCUCAUGUCAAUGCAUGUGCACAAUAUGAUAUCAAAUAAAGAGGAGAUGCAAUAUCUCAAUAAAUUAAAUGUCGUUAUGACAUAUAAUCACCUCAAUUAUCACAAUGCUAUGGGUUUAGUAAAGAACACAAUUACACAAAAUAAAUCUAGUCAAUAAUAUAUAAUAUAAUGUCCAUAUGUUUUGGCAUUCUCAUAUUGCAAUUCACAUUCUAUAGUAAUAAACUUUGCUUUUAUAACACUAAUACUCGUACUAUUCUCAAACCAUCACAUACAAACACUUAAUCAUUUGCCUUUUAUCACUCCUUUUCAUCAUUAGAAUUAAUCAAGGUAGAAAAAUCAACCCUUCACCAAGUCCCGUUACUCCCAACACAUACCAUAAGAAAAUACACAAUUUCAUACACUUAACAAGGGUUUAGAAAUUUCACUUGCCUCAAAUAGUCGAACAAUCGCUCUAGGAUUUAAGACUUGUCGUUUCGUUGAAAUUCCAAAUAAAUGCAAUCUACUCAAAUAUGUAAUCACCAUAAGAUUCCAAAACUAACAACACUCGGUGCUAUAUGUCUAGCUAAGACCCAAAAACUCAUUCAAAUAUAUAAUCAAGUUCCUAAUCUUGAAUUCUUGAUGUCAAUUGGCAUGUCAACUCUUAUAUUUCUAAAUUUCAAGUCUAGGGUUUAGUUACAAUUUCUUCAAUAUAAUAAUAUUCAUAUAAUACAAUAUAUUUAAUAUUUAAUUAUCUAUCUCAAUAUAUCAAAAUUUAAUUUAUUGAAAUUAUAGAAAAAAAUUGAAAUAAAAGUCAAAGUUACAAAUAAUUAAGCGUGUCAAUUCGCUGAACAACAACAAUUACCCAAACUCAAUUCACAUUCCUUAAAAUCUUCAAUAUCCUCACAAGCCAUCCUUACGUAAGCAAUAACCUCAAACCUUAUCCAUCAUUAGCCGAUAAUGGCUUAAGUCUCAUCUCCUCAAAUUGUCUGAAGAACUUACUGCAAAAUUCUAAAUUUCAUUCUCAAUUUUGUCGAAUUUUCCUUCCUAAUUCAUUCCACUUUACAGUUUCUCCCCUAAGUUAGAGAACAUGGCACCAAUAUAAAUAUAAUUUGUAAAUUUAUCACACAAUUCAACAAAAAUAAUAAUAAUCUAAUCUCUACCAUAUCAUUAUACUAUAACUAAUGUAGGCACAUACAAAAAUGGAAGGCCGGGGGAACUCUUACCUGCAACCCUUCGUGUCCUUUUGUUUAGUAUCCGAGGACACUUUUUCUUUAAAU